AAUCGCGAAUCAGAAUGUCGCGGUGAAUACGUUCCCGGGCCUUGUACACACCGCCCGUCACACCAUGGGAGUUGGUUCUACCCGAAGAUGGUGCGCUAACCUUUUGGAAGCAGCCAGCCACGGUAGGAUCAGCGACUGGGGUGAAGUCGAAACAAGGUAGCCGUAGGGGAACCUGCGGCUGGAUCACCUCCUU
rnacentral:rRNA from 1 species